CCUACGGGAGGCUGCAGUGGGGGAUAUUGUACAAUGGGGGAAACCCUGAUGCAGCGACGCCGCGUGGGUGAAGAAGUAUUUCGGUAUGUAAAGCCCUAUCAGCAGGGAAGAAAGAAGACGGUACCUGACUAAGAAGCCCCGGCUAACUACGUGCCAGCAGCAGCGGUAAUACGUAGGGGGCGAGCGUUAUCCGGAUUCACUGGGUGUAAAGGGAGCGUAGACGGCCGUGCAAGCCAGGAGUGAAAGCCCGGGGCCCAACCCCGGGACUGCACUUGGAACUGGGCGGCUGGAGUGCGGGAGGGGCAGGCGGAAUUCCUGGUGUAGCGGUGAAAUGCGUAGAUAUCAGGAGGAACACCGGCGGCGAAGGCGGCCUGCUGGACCGCGACUGACGUUGAGGCUCGAAAGCGUGGGGAGCGAACAGGAUUAGAUACCCUUGUAGUC
rnacentral:rRNA from 1 species